UGGCGGCUUCCGCAGGUAGGCGCGGCCCGGGGCUCGGGCUGAGGCUGCGGUGCGCGUCGCGUUGUAGUAACAUCUCCUCCUCACUCCGCAGGCGGGCGGUGAGCGCCCCGCUGCCGGCCCCCGGCGUGACACCGCCUGUGCUGCGCCUCCAGCGCCGCGCCUGAUCUGCCUCAGUGCAGGUGGUGCCACGACGGCGCCUUGCACGUUGUUAUAAAAAGCGCGUUGGCAACUUGAAGCUUUCCAGGAUAGUUGAGGUAAUCGCUUCUUCGGAGUUGUUUGUGCGCUGUGAGGAGCGUGGGAACGCACCAGAAGCUCGCUUGGCAGGGAGUGUGGAUAAUUAAUGUGUCUGAUCAUCCACCAAGCGUCUGAUCACUUAGGAAAAUGACUGCGGUGCCAGUCUUUAACAUACCCGAUGAGAUUUUUCAACAAGGUUUACUGGCACGUAAGCUCUUUAACAGUCAUCCACUGAUUAGCAGCGCCAGUGUUGCCUGUAUGUCCAGUGAAGGCAGAUGGGAGUGAAAUGCUGUGUGAAAUGAUUAAACCGACACCUCUCUCCCCUUAGUCCCAUCACGGCUGUGCCAGGUGACUGAGGAGCACUGCAGCAGAUGCCGUGUCAUUAACCAACAGAUGGACAGCUCUGGAGUUAAAUACUAAAUUACUGCGAGUUGUGGAGUCAUAAAGACCCUCCACAAUGAGGGAAAGAAGCAGAAAGCAGAUCAUUUCCCUCAAUAAUCCCUUACAGGAUUUUCCAUUUGUUAAUGUUUGAUGGUGCAGAGCUGUUGCAUAUUAGUAAAUCUGAUGGAGGCCUUUGAGCCAUUGGA